ensembl:lncRNA
AGAUGUGUGAUUUGGCUGUUUGAAUAUUUUUAGUAUUUGUUUACCUAUUUCUUCAGCCAUUAUCCAGUGAAAAAAUACUCAUUUAUUUUAAAGAAAGAUAAUGUUAUAGCUUCAGUAGAUAUCUACACUUUUGUACUUGCACAUCACAUAUAAGUGCUGAGACGGAUUUUUCUUGAAGGCAAUGAAAUGAAGUACCAGAGUCGUCUUCUCCUCAAACUUGGCUCUGUAAAUGCUUUGGAGGAGAAGGGAAAGACAAGCAGUAAUUUGAAAGCAUUUCUGAUCUAUUGCCUACAUGGACCUCAGAAAGAAAGUGGCUUUAUAGGAGGAGGCAGAAGAGAUGCAGAGAGAUUGUUGUGUCAGGAAGUCCAGUUCCUGCACUCCUGGCUUUGAAGAUGAGGGGAGCCCAGCCAAGGGAGCAAAUGACCUGUAAAAGUUGGAAAAGAAGGAAAUGGCAACCCACUCCAGUGUUCUUGCCUGGAGAAUCCCAGGGACGGGGGAGCCUGGUGGGCUGCCGUCUAUAGCAUCACACAGAGUCGGACACGACUGAUUUGACUUAGCAGCAGCAGCAGAGGUGAAUCUUGUCUCAGUUCCAUGGAGGAUAUCAGGACAUACAACGAAACAAGAGGGAUACAAGUGCACAGAGGGGAUGCAUGUGAGGAGACGGUGAGAAGACAGCCACUGGAAAACCAAGGAGAGAAGCUUCAAGAGGAACCAGACCUGUCCACACUUGAUCUGGGACUUCUAGCCUCCAGAAGCAUGAGAAAGCAAAUCUCUGUUAAAUCACCCAGUCUGUUAUAUUUUGAUAUGGCAGCCCUAGCCAAUCAAUACGUUCCCCUCUCCUUUCUUGUUCUUUUAAAAUUAAAUCUACAGUCUUACCACUGGGGAAUAUCAUGACAAAGCAUUUGAUAUCGGGAGUUGAUGAGUUGUUAUUUAAAGGACCCUCUAAUGUGCCAUUCCCUGGAAGUUGUUGAUUACAGUUAAAUUCACUUAGGGGAACAUUGAACGUGGGAUCAUGUUUGUGGCCUUCAUUCUAGCAAAGCUCUCCUAAGGGAGCUGUGAGACUUAAGCCCUGACUAAGGGCCUCCUUGGUGGCUCAGAUGGUAAAGAAUCUGCCUGCAAUGCAGGAGACCCGGGUUUGAUCCCUGGGUUGGGAAGAUCCCCUGGAGAAGGGAAUGGCUACCCACUCCAGUAUUCUUGCCUGGGGAAUUCCAUACACAGAGGAGCCUGAUGGACUAUAGUGCAUGGGGCUGCAAGAAGGCAUACACAUCUGAGAGACUAACACAGUAAGAGUUGUACCACCCAGAGCCCUGCAGUGGGGCCCUGGGAUGGUCUAAUAAUUGCUAACAUGACUCCUUCAAUAAUUAAUGAUUCAGUUGUUUUAAAUGCCUUAAUACAUAAAAGCUCACAUGUGGUGUCAGAUCUCCAAAUUAUAACACAAAAUAGAUGUUUUGCAGUAACUUAUAUGGAAUUAAUUCCAUCCUAGAGUUCUUGUAGAAAUUAGAAGUCAUUUAAAGACUGAGCUCUGAUGGUUAUGUGUCACUAGACUCCCUCUGUGGAACCAUUUCCUUGUAAAUUUUUGUAAUCCAUUUGUAUUCUGUACACAUGUGGUCUCUUGACGGCUUUGGUGGUUCUUAAUUGCACUUCUCAUAGGCAAUCCCAAUGGUAGGUUCCUUUCAACUAAACUAGUAGUGAUGUGCCAUCAAGCACAAAAACAAAAACAAACAAACAGAAAAAAAAACUGGUUGAUUUAAUUAUUAAUGGUAAAUGUCCUUCUAGCUUCUUCCAAGAAAGCGAAAGCACAUCACUUGACUAAUAAGCCUUUUCAGUAAUGAAAUAUAAUUUUACUUGGUCAAGUUAUUCUCCUAAAGUUUUAGUUCUUAUUUAUGGAUUCUUAAUCUCAGGUGCUUGGGAUUGGCUUUAUCACCCUCUUCAUUUUCUGGAGUUCUACUAUUGAUCUCCCAAAGAACUUGUGCCUUUUAAGGGUUUUUGUUUUAAUUAUUCUCCAUAUUUCUCACUCGUGUCCCUCUUCACUUUUUGAAAAUGUUCCAAAGUAAUUUUUUUAAAAAAAUCUAUUUCCCAGAUUUAUUGAGAUGUAAUUGACAUACAAUUGUAUAAUUUUAAUAUAUACAAUGUAAAGAUUUUAUAUAUGUAUAUAUUGCAAAAUGAUUACCACAAUAAAGUAGUUAACACAUCCAUCACCUCACAUAAUUACAAUGUCUUGUGUGUAUGAUCAGGGUUUAAUUUAUUCUCUUGGCAACUCUCAAAUAUGCAUCACAGUAUUAUUAACUGUGCUUGCCAUGUUGUACAGUAUAGCCC